UCGAGCGCCCAGCAAUGGGAGCGGCAGACGGGUGAGUAACACGUGGGGAUCUACCCAAUGGUACGGAAUAACCCAGGGAAACUUGGAUUAAUACCGUAUGUGCCCUUCGGGGGAAAGAUUUAUCGCCAUUGGAUGAACCCGCGUCGGAUUAGCUAGUUGGUGAGGUAAAGGCUCACCAAGGCGACGAUCCGUAGCUGGUCUGAGAGGAUGAUCAGCCACACUGGGACUGAGACACGGCCCAGACUCCUACGGGAGGCAGCAGUGGGGAAUAUUGGACAAUGGGCGCAAGCCUGAUCCAGCCAUGCCGCGUGAGUGAUGAAGGCCUUAAGGUUGUAAAGCUCUUUCGCCGGUGAAGAUAAUGACGGUAACCGGAGAAGAAGCCCCGGCUAACUUCGUGCCAGCAGCCGCGGUAAU
rnacentral:rRNA from 1 species